GGAGACGUGGCCGAGUGGUCGAAGGCGCUCCCCUGCUAAGGGAGCGUUUUUUCUGUCCAAGGCUCUGUUAAUCAUGAAUUUUCUCCG
rnacentral:tRNA from 1 species